AUGAAGCUGACUUUCUCGUCCCCAGCCACCGGCUGCCACAAACUCAUUGAUGUGGCCGAUGAACACAAGUUCAUACUUUCUAUGACCAGGGCACGCACGGCCACAGAAGUAGCUGCUGCUCUGGGUGAAGAGUGGAAGGGUUGAGUGGUCUGGAUUAUUUACAGGAAUGACAAACAAGAUUUUCCCAAGAAGUAAGGAGUUUUGACCCAUGGCAAAGUGUGCCUGCUGUUGAGUAAGGGCGCCCAAGUCUGUUCGUGGAUGCCAAUCUAAGUGUUCUCAACUUGGUUAUUGUUUUAAAAGGAGAGAAGGCUAUUCCUGGACAGUGCCUCGUUGGUUGGGACAUAAAAAAGCUAGCAGAAUCCAAGAGCUUUUAAAUCUCUCUAAAGGUGAUGUCCACCAACAUGUGGUCAGAAAGCCCUUAAACAAAGACGGUAAGAAGCCCAGGAGCAGAGCACCAAGAUUCAGGGUCUUAUUACUCUACGUGUCGUGCAAGAUGAAUGCUGAGGUACUGCUCUGAAG
rnacentral:lncRNA from 1 species